GCAAGUCUACUUGAUCCUUCGGGUGGUGGUGGAGGUCGGGUGAGUAACGCGUAAAGAACUUGCCCUGCAGUCUGGUACAACAUUUGGAAACGAAUGCUAAUACCGGAUAUUAUGUGAGUUUCGCAUGAAAUUCAUAUGAAAGCUAUAUGCGCUGCAGGAGAGCUUUGCGUCCUAUUAGCUAGUUGGUGAGGUAACGGCUCACCAAGGCGAUGAUAGGUAGCCGGCCUGAUAGGGUGAAC
rnacentral:rRNA from 1 species